GCCGCCAGAGUGGUUCUGGAGCCCGGAUCAAACUCUAACGGGAGGCAGCAGUAAGGAAUAUUGGUCAAUGGAGGCAACUCUGAACCAGCCAUGCCGCGUGCAGGAAGACAGCCCUCUGGGUCGUAAACUGCUUUUAUUCGGGAAUAAACCUAUUUACGUGUAGAUAGCUGAAUGUACCGAAGGAAUAAGGAUCGGCUAACUCCGUGCCAGCAGCCGCGGUAAUACGGAGGAUCCAAGCGUUAUCCGGAUUUAUUGGGUUUAAAGGGUGCGUAGGCGGCUUAUUAAGUCAGGGGUGAAAGACGGUGGCUCAACCAUCGCAGUGCCUUUGAUACUGAUGAGCUUGAAUGAACUAGAGGUAGGCGGAAUGUGACAA
rnacentral:rRNA from 1 species